AACCUCUUUGAGGAUGGCACCUGGAGAGUUUCCAGUACUUUGCCAGUCUCGACUACGGGAGGGAGAGUCAAGCAGAGGCCUACCCAUUCCAUUCCUAGCUUGGAUAGUGGAUAGAGAGCGGAAGACCAUCUGCUACAAGU